rnacentral:rRNA from 1 species
UACAGAGGGGGUAAGCGUUGUUCGGAAUUACUGGGCGUAAAGGGCGCGUAGGCGGCCCGCUAAGUCGAACGUGAAAUCCCCGAGCUCAACUCGGGAACUGCGUCCGAUACUGGCGGGCUUGAAUCCGGGAGAGGGAUGCGGAAUUCCAGGUGUAGCGGUGAAAUGCGCAGAUAUCAGGAGGAACACCGAUGGCGAAGGCAGGUCUCUGGGCAUUAACUGACGCUGAGGAGCGAAAGCAUGGGGAGCGAACAGG